rnacentral:rRNA from 1 species
CCCUUGGGGGGCGGCCCCGGGGGAUAUUUUGCCCAAGGGGGGAAGCCGAACCCGAGCCGCGCCGCGUGAGGAGAAGGCCUUGUGGGUUUAAAAUCUUUUUCAUGGAGGAGAAGUGUCUUAGUAAUAAGCGGCUAAGUGACGUCCAAGAACCACC